GAGAGACACGACCACGAGGCACUUCCAGGGCAGGAACAGGUAACCACUUCAGAAUGUUGAAAACUGUUGUACAAAGUAAUUAAUGAGCUGCCCUGGAUCUGAGGCAAGCGACGGAAGAGUCAAGAUGAUUAAAAGUCUUCUGAUAAAGGGUUUCUUUAAGGAAAAGAAAAUCCCACAAUGCAACCAGCAAUGUUAAUCUUCAAUAAAUACGCUGUUAAUAUUUAACUGGCAUUUAUUUAAACUUACAGUAACGGUCCUAUUAAAUCUAAAUUAAUUGCCCAUUUGGGAAUCUUCCCCUAAAGCCUAGCUGGGACAUGGCUAUCUAGAUACAGUCUAUGCUAGGCAUCCAGCCAUAAAGAGAAUAUUUACACACUCCUUCCAUGACUAGACUAUUGGAAUAUCCGGGUUAGAAGAGUUUUAGAGAUCUAUUGGACUGGUUGCACACUGUCUGUCCUUUAACUUUCCGCGGCCCUAUUUUUUUUUUUCUUCUCUUCAGUAAGGGAUUUUUUCUGUGUUUCCUGUAUCUACCUCUUCCCACCUUUUCUUUUUAUUUGGAUUCUCUCUCCUUUCUGUUAGUGUUUGUUUCUUCUGGACUUCAUGGUUUAGACUCAUCCUGCUGUGUUUUAUCUCAAUCUCUGCUGAGUUUCUCAGAUAAGCCAUUUAGGCAUAUGUUCAUAGCAUAUUCUGUACACACACGGAUACAUAUACAUACAUAUAAUUUUAUGUGUCACAGAGAACAUUUUAUAAUAGCAGUUGUAUAUAAAAGGCUAAGUGCCGUGAAAUAAUUCCUGAGUCAUGCUGCUUUAGAAGGGGCAGCAAGAGUGUAAUUGGGUAGAACUGAUAUUUGCUAUCCCUGAAAUCAAUCAAUAUUCUUUAUUAGAAAUGUGGACCUGGAUGAACUGCUGUGAUGUUAUUUUGCUGGGAUUGUAACCCAUUUACAUUUCCACACCAAACAUAUACAGACACACCAUACCAGUUUCAUCAGAUCAGUUGACUACUGAGACAUGGAUUUCAAACAAACACCUAAUUAGAGGGGUUAGUGUUCAAACUGAGUUAACUUUAAACCAAUGCAUCAAGGCUGCACAGAAUCUGAACUUUCCUUGGGGAAGCAGGAACUGGAUGAGACUAAAAUCGUUCACUCUAAGGUUCUAAAUGUUUAGUUCACCAAGUUUGAUUUGUAAAUGUUCACUGUUUGCUUUGCAGGCCCCGGGACAGGAAUGGUAGUAGGGAGGGGACAAAGCACCAGUGAGGAGCAGGUGAAGUGGUGGGAAGGCACCCACACAUUUUAAGAAGAUAAACAUACUCUCAACUGUUUGUUUGUGGAAGGCUUGAAUUUGUACUGCCCUAGAAGUCAAGUUUCUUUGUAUUUCUAGCUAAACUAAUACCCAAACUAUCCACUUCCUUUUUUAAUUCUUUACUUCAAUUUAAAGUAUCUAUUGACUCUGACAAACUUAUUGACUCUUACAAAGAAAUAAUAAAAUGCAUUUCUGUAUGCUUGUGAAUCUCUGUGACUUUCACCUUGUUGGUCCACCUGUAUGCAUUACCAUCGUGAGUUCAG
rnacentral:lncRNA from 1 species